rnacentral:lncRNA from 1 species
GAGUUUUCUUUUGGUGUUUUGUUGGCGUUUCGACGGCUAUGAUCAUCUGAAGGUCUUGAGACUAUAUAUAGGACUCAUGAGAGCCCUAGGGUAUAGCGAUUGGCCGUAUAUUUGAGAGAGACUCUUGUUUGUGAGGCUAGGGUUCUAGAGAAGAAGAGGAUUGGGAUCCUACUUCUUGUGCAAAGGGAAUUCUGUGUGAAUCUCUUGUAGAGCGAUCUCGUGUGAUCGUUCGGGUGUGUGCCAUCUCUGUAAUCUAUUCAUCCUAGUUGAGAUUUGGAGCGGUGGAGGGCGUAGGCUAUUUGUAGCCGAACCUCGUUACAUCUUUGUGUUUGCUUUGCUAUCUUCUUCCUAUUUCUUCUUCCUUUGGUUUGAUAAUCCGCUGCGGUGCUCAAGUGNNNNNNNNNNNNNNNNNNNCGGGGUAAUCUUUUGCCCUUCGUAGGGAUAAGCGAAGCGGUGAUCCUUGAGUCCGGUGUCGAGGG